rnacentral:rRNA from 1 species
AUGUCUAUUGCUUUCCAAUUAGCUAUUUUUGCAUUAAUUGUGACUUCCUAAGUCUUAGUAAUUAGUGUACCCCUUGUAUUUGCUUCUCCUGAUGGUUGGCAAAAUAACCCCGUAACUUCGGGAGAAGGGUUGCCUCCUCACAAAAGGGGGCCGCAAUGA